rnacentral:rRNA from 1 species
CUUGGUUGAUCCUACCAAUAGUCACAUGCUUGUAUCAAAGAUUGAGCCAUGUAUGUGUCAGUAUGAACUAAUUCAAAUUGUGAAACUAUGAUUGGCUCAUUAAAUGAAUUAUAGUUUGUUUGAUGGUAUUUGCUACUUGGAUAACUGUAGUACUUCUAGAGCUAAUAUGUGCAACAAACCCUAACUUUUGGAAGGGAUGUAUUUAUUAGAUAAAGGGUUGACACAAGCUUUGCCCGUUGCUCUGAUGAUUCAUGAUAACUCAACAGAUGGCAUAGCCAUUAUGCCAACAAUGCAUCAUUCAAAUUUCUACCCUAUCAACUUUCAUGGUAGGAUGGUGGCCUACUAUGGUGGUAAUGGGUGACAAAAAAUUAGGGUUCGAUUUUGGAUAGGGAGCCUAAAAAAAAGCUACCACAUCUAAGGAAGGUAGCAAGAGUGCAUAUUACCCAAUCCUGACAUAGGGAGGUAGUAAUAAUAAAUAACAAUAGUAGGCUCUAUAAGUCUAAUAAAUAGAAUGAGUACAAUCUAAAUCCCUUAAUGAAGAUCCUUUGGAUGGCAGUUAGGGUGCCAGCAACUGUAGUAAUUCUAGCUUCAAUAGCAUAUAUUUAAAGUGUUACAGUUAAAAAGCUUGUAGUUGAAACAUGAGUUAGGUCAUUUGGUCCACCUUAUAGUGAGCAUCAGUCUACUCAUCCUUACUAUUGGUGAUGUGCUUCUGGCCUUAACUGGCUAGGUCAUUCUUCUGGCACAGUUACUUUCAAGAAAUUAGAGUGCUCAAAAUAGACCUACACUUGUAUACAUUUGCAUCGAAUAACAUCAUAGGAUCAAUGGAUGUUACUUUUAGGACUCUACCUACGCAUUAUGAAAAAUUAAAGUUUUUGGGUUCUAGGGGAAGUAUGGUUGCAAGGCUAAAACUUAAAGGAAUUGAAGGAAGGGCAACACUGGGAGUGGAGCUUGCAAUUUAAUUUGACUCGAGAAACUUACCAGGUCUAGAUAGAGUAAGGAUUCACAAACUAAAAGCUUUUUUUUUAUUCUAUAGGUGGUGGUGCAUGGCCAUUCUUAGUUGGUGGAGUGAUUUGCUAGUUAAUUCCAUUAACGAAUGAGACCUCAGCCAGCUAAUUAACUACAUAGAGGUGAUCCUUCAUGGCUAGCUUCUUAGAGGAACAAUGGCCACUAAGGCCAAGGAAGUCUGAGGUAAUAAAAGGUCUAUGAUGCCCUUAGAUGUUCUAAGCUACAAGCAUGCUACACUGAUGUAUUUAAUGAGUCUAUAGCCUUGGCUGAAAGGUCCAUGUAAUCUUUGAAAUUUCAUCAUGAUAGGGUUAAAUCAUUGUAAUUGUUGGUCUUCAAUUGGGAAUUCCUAGUAAGUGCAAGUCAUUAGCUCAUGUUGGUUAUGUGCCUGCCCUUUGUACAUGCCACCUGUCACUCCUACUUAUUGCAUGGUCCAAUGAAGUGCUUGAAUCAUGGCGACAUGGAUGAUUCACUACCCAUGACAUUACGAGAAGUCCACUGAACCUUAUCAUUUAGAAGAAGAGAAGUCAUAACAAGGUUUUUGUAGGUGAACUUGUGGAAG